UACGAAGGGGGCUAGCGUUGCUCGGAUUGACUGGGCGUAAAGGGCGCGUAGGCGGUUUGUACAGUCAGACGUGAAAUUCCUGGGCUCAACCUGGGGGCUGCGUUUGAUACGUGCGAGCUUGAGUUCGGAAGAGGGUCGUGGAAUUCCCAGUGUAGAGGUGAAAUUCGUAGAUAUUGGGAAGAACACCGGUGGCGAAGGCGGCGACCUGGUCCGAUACUGACGCUGAGGCGCGAAAGCGUGGGGAGCAAACAGG
rnacentral:ncRNA from 2 species